UACGUAGGGUGCAAGCGUUAAUCGGAAUUACUGGGCGUAAAGCGUGCGCAGGCGGUUAUAUAAGACAGUUGUGAAAUCCCCGGGCUCAACCUGGGAACUGCAUCUGUGACUGUAUAGCUAGAGUACGGUAGAGGGGGAUGGAAUUCCGCGUGUAGCAGUGAAAUGCGUAGAUAUGCGGAGGAACACCGAUGGCGAAGGCAAUCCCCUGGACCUGUACUGACGCUCAUGCACGAAAGCGUGGGGAGCAAAUAGG
rnacentral:rRNA from 1 species